rnacentral:lncRNA from 1 species
UGUGAGAUUGUGUAAAUUGAUAUUGAUAAUGCUUGUUUAUGUUUAUGUUGGAUCGGGUACCAUGCCGGUACGGAUAUGUUUAUGUUGGAUCGGGCACUACGCCGGUUCGGAUAUGUAAAUGUUGGAUCAGGUACUACGCUGGUUCGGAUAUGUAAAUAUUGGAUCGGGUACCACGCUGGUAUGGUAUAUGAACAUAGAUUGUUCCCUGCAGGUCAUGACUAUUUAGGCAAAAAUAAGUCCCAUAGCAUGUGAGUACAUACUUGUGUUGAUUUUGUGGAUGUUUACCGUAUGGUUGAUACUCUUGAUAGUUAUGAGGCUUA